CCGCCUCCCCUGCCUCUCCCCGCCUCCCCUGCCUCUCCCCGCCUCCAGGUCCCUCCCUAUCAGUCUCCUCCCAUCCCAGCCUCCCCUGCCCCUCCAGGCCUCCCUGUCCUUCCCCAUCCAUCCCCUUCCCUCCCCUCCCAGCCCCUCCCGGCCUCUGCUCUCCCUUCCCGCCUCCCCUCUCCCUUCCCGCCUCCCCUCUCCCUCCCCUCCUCCCCUGGCCCCCCAGUCUCCCUGGCCUUCCCUAUCCAUUCCCAUCCAUCCCCUCCCCUCCCCUCCCCUCCCCCUCCUCUCCUACUCUCUUCCAGCCUUCCCUGCCCCUCCUAUCCUCCCCAUUCCUCCCCAUCCUAUCCUCCCCAUUCCUCCCCAUCCAUCCCAGACCAUUCCCACCUCCCCACUUCGGGCCCCUCCAUGCCUGCACUCUUCAGGCUCCUUCUCCUCUGUCCCUUUCCCCUUUCAACCCCCAGACACCGCCUCCCAUGCCCCUCAUCUCCCUCCUCCACUCCUGUCCUUGCUCCCACUUCGCCCCCACCCCAGCUCGGCCCCUCUUCAUCGCCCCUGCCUCGUCCCGCCCCUCCUCUGUCUUCCCUUCCUACCCACUCCUGGCCUCUCCCUGUCCCUGUCCCUCCUAUCCUCUUCUUUCCCCUCUUCUCACCCCACUCCUGGCCCCUCUUCCCCCACCCCUUCCACACCUAUGCCCCCCUUCUACCCACUCCACCCCCUCAGCUCCAUCUCUUCCCAAAGACCUGUCCCUCCUCCCAAGCUUAGGUCACCCUGCCCUCCAGAGAGGUGUCAAGGCCCUCUGGGCCCUAAAAGCAUGCGACCCCCUAGUUUCAUUUCCUCAGAAAAGGGAAAGAUAGAGGUCUCGGCCUUCCGGAGUCUUCGGAGGUCCUGAGUAUCCGUGAGCAUUUGGUCAAGGUCUAGAAAUCACUAAGGCAGAGGUAGUCUAGGAGCUAGAGACGGAGCCUGGGUGACCGAGCCAUGGACACUACAUUGCAGGGCUGCUGCCAGACAGAAAUGUGACACGAACCCAGGAGCAAUUUAAAACUUUCUGGGAGACACAUUUCAAAAAGUAAAAAAGAAACAGGUGAAGCCUUGAAUAUCAGUUCCCUUAGCAGAGUUCAGUGACCCGGGAGAGUGGUUCCUGUUCCUGCUCAGGAUCCUGCUAAGCUGACUCACUGGGUGCUGGAGCUGGAGCCCCAGGCCUCCUGCUGCAUCUUGUCAGAAUCCUGCUAGUAGAAGCCAGCCAGGCCAAAACUCUGCCCUACCAGAAAAUCCUGUUGCCAGCAUCCUCAAUCUGUCUUUUUAAAAAUGCAUUUUAUAGUAGGUUGCAGACAUUAGUAUACUCCACUCCUAAACAUGUGUUAGUAUGCGUAUCAUUAACUAGAGCUCAUCAUUUAUUUAUACCUUUUCCAUUUGUUAUAAAAUGUACCUAUAGUGAAAUGCACGAAUCUGAAGCAUACAUUAACUAAAUUUUGACGAAGUCACACUCUGUCAGAUACAGAGCAUGAUCACCCCCCAGAAAGUUCCCGUGUCCCCUUUUCCAGUCAACUGGGGGCCUCACUUCUGAGACAGCCACUGCACCAAUGCUUCAUUUACUAUUGAUGAGUUUUGUUUAUUGCAGAAGUGCAUGCCGACAAAUUUUUACAUCAUGUAGACUUUUACGCUUGCCAUUUUUCACUCAGCAUGAUGUUUUUAGAUGUAUCCAUGUUAAACAGUAUAUUCAUACAUCAGUCUUUGAUUGCCACACAUGAGGCUCCUGACACUCGCAACCCUGGAUUUCAGGCAGCAUUUGCUGUAGUGAGGAGGCAGCUCUCGAGCACUCGGAGUUUUUGCCGCUACUUCCCCUUUCUCCUUUCUAAUCUGGACCAGCUGCCCUGCCUUACCCCUACUCUCCCUGCUCCUCCUCUUUCAUCUUUCUCUUUCUCCUAAGGUUACUUUCACUUUUAGCUCCAAGCGGAAUCUAGAAGGGGGAAAAAGUGUCACCAUCAAUGGAGCAAAACCCAAUUUUCUAAGACAACGAACAGAUUUCUCCAACUCUUCUCCAUAUUUGAAAAUAAAAGUUCUUGUAUUUUUAGAAUCAAAUUAGUACAUGCUUAUUAUAAAAUGAAUAAGAAAAUGAAUAAAAGUGUAAGAAAGAUAAA